rnacentral:rRNA from 1 species
ACCCGCUGAACUUAAGCAUAUCAAUAAGCGGAGGAAAAGAAACCAACAGGGAUUGCCCUAGUAACGGCGAGUGAAGCGGCAACAGCUCAAAUUUGAAAUCUGGCGUCUUUGGCGUCCGAGUUGUAAUUUGCAGAGGGCGCUUUGGCAUUGGCAGCGGUCCAAGUUCCUUGGAACAGGACGUCACAGAGGGUGAGAAUCCCGUACGUGGUCGCUAGCCUUUACCGUGUAAAGCCCCUUCGACGAGUCGAGUUGUUUGGGAAUGCAGCUCUAAAUGGGAGGUAAAUUUCUUCUAAAGCUAAAUACUGGCCAGAGACCGAUAGCGCACAAGUAGAGUGAUCGAAAGAUGAAAAGCACUUUGGAAAGAGAGUUAAAAAGCACGUGAAAUUGUUGGAAGGGAAGCGCUUGCAGCCAGACUUGCCUGUAGUUGCUCAUCCGGGUUUUUACCCGAUGCACUCUUCUAUAGGCAGGCCAGCAUCAGUUUGGGCGGUUGGAUAAAGGUCCCUGUCAUGUACCUCUCUUCGGGGAGAACUUAUAGGGGAGACGACAUGCAACCAGCCCGGACUGAGGUCCGCGCAUCUGCUAGGAUGCUGGCGUAAUGGCUGU